GGCUGUAGCUCAGUGGCAGAGCACUUGCCUAGCAUGCACAAGGCCCUGGGUUCCAUCCCCAGUACCA
rnacentral:tRNA from 1 species